GAUGGACGCUGGCGGCGUGCCCAAUACAUGCAAGUCGAGCGAACGGACGAGAAGCUUGCUUCUCUGAUGUUAGCGGCGGACGGGUGAGUAACACGUGGAUAACCUACCUAUAAGACUGGGAUAACUUCGGGAAACCGGAGCUAAUACCGGAUAAUAUUUUGAACCGCAUGGUUCAAAAGUAAAAGACGGUCUUGCUGUCACUUAUAGAUGGAUCCGCGCUGCAUUAGCUAGUUGGUAAGGUAACGGCUUACCAAGGCAACGAUGCAUAGCCGACCUGAGAGGGUGAUCGGCCACACUGGAACUGAGACACGGUCCAGACUCCUACGGGAGGCAGCAGUAGGGAAUCUUCCGCAAUGGGCGAAAGCCUGACGGAGCAACGCCGCGUGAGUGAUGAAGGUCUUCGGAUCGUAAAACUCUGUUAUUAGGGAAGAACAUAUGUGUAAGUAACUGUGCACAUCUUGACGGUACCUAAUCAGAAAGCCACGGCUAACUACGUG
rnacentral:rRNA from 1 species